UUCAUUCAUCCCUAUCCUCACCCUCACUCCAACUUCUCUCUCUCCCGGUCUUGAUCGACGCCAGCACCAGUGGAGGGAAAAACCCCCGAAGCAGGCCGUCUCUCUCUCCGUGCGCGAGCAGCUCCACGCAUCCCUGCUCCCCUCUGUGUUGAAGCCAACUUGCGUUUUCUUCAGUCAACCGAAGAAGCGCCCACGCCCGUGGACUUCAACAGUUCGACAACCCCACCGACUUCAACCCUACCGUUUAUUCCCUCUUAGUUGACCGAAGAAGCAGCUGCCAUCCCCUCUUCGUGUCUUUCAUUCACUGGUCUUCUUCACUUUCAGCCACACGGAUCCAGCUGCCCCUCCGUUCUGCCAUCUCCAGCUCGGUUAGCCCAGCAGUGUCAACGGAAGCAGUUCCUCGUUGACCUCGCAAGUCCACCGAUUCCCCUACAGCAGCUUCACGCCUCCACCAGCCUUCUCUCUCUCCUCCACGCUGCCACUUAGCUGCGCCAGCACAGCCGGUCAACAUUAACCACCCACCGAAGCCCCUUGUUGACCUCUCUUCGACGCCCUUGCAGCUGUUUCGCCGCCCACGCGUCCACCGAAGCGGCUUGCCGCGUCUUCGUGCGGCCACACGGCCAGCUCACCUCCACGUCCCCGCAAUUUUGGCCCAAAAUCCCAGUAGGAAGUCCAGCAAUUCGGUCCAUUUGAAGACCGCAUCUCCGGCCCACGUUCUACACACGAGCUCAGUCCAUCGGCCCAGCAGUUUCCUUUUCUUUUUGUUCGGCCCAGCUCUUUGAAGCCCACGCGAACAGCAGUUGGCCAGCAAAGCCAACCAGCCCAUUCUAAGUUCAUUUGAAGCCCAUGUUCAGUUGUGGUUCAGCCGAGUUUGAAGCUGCAGUUCAGCCCAUCUCGAGGCCCACUUUAAUCAGCCCAUCAGCUCACAAAUCAGUGAAGUCCAGCAAGCUCAUUUGAAGCCCUAGCCCGUGAAGCAAGCCGACCCAAGUUCAGUAGCCGUCGUGUCGCCGUCGCGGUUUCCGAUCUUCGCUUUGUGCAAGAAAUUCAACUGGGAUGGCCAGUGACCAGAAUUUCGUGCUGAUUGUCGUGGAGUGAUCCGUUUAUUUAAUUGAGCUUUAAUUUGUGUCGAAUUGAUUUAAUGGUGCUUUUUAAGUUACGUUUUUAAAUAAUGCGAUGUUUAGUUAUGUGA